rnacentral:piRNA from 1 species
UCUCUCUGAUGACCUUAGACCAUAUCAAGUU